GGGUCGGUGCCCGAGUGGCCAAUGGGAGCAGACUGUAAAUCUGCCGGCGUACGCCUACGGGGGUUCGAAUCCCUCCCGGCCCA
rnacentral:tRNA from 1 species